rnacentral:rRNA from 1 species
GAUGAACGCUGGCGGCGUGCUUAACACAUGCAAGUCGAACGGAAAGGUCUUGCUUGCAGGGUUCUCGAGUGCCGAACGGGUGAGUAACCCGUGGGUGAUCUGCCCUCCACUUCGGGAUAAGCCUGGGAAAGUGGGUCUACAACUGGUAAGGAGCCAUUCUCAGUGUUACGGUUGGAAAGUUAUUGCGGUGUAGGAUGAGCUCGCGGCCUAUUAGCUUGUUGGUGGGGUUAUGGCCUACCAAGGCGGCGACGGGUAGCCGGCCUGAGAGGGUGGACGGCCACAUUGAGGCUGCGGAGCGGCCGAGACUCCUACGGGGGGCAGCAGUAGGGGAUAUUGCUCGAUGGGCGCGGGCCUGAUGCAGCGGCGCCGCGGGGGGGAUGACGAACUUCGGGUUAUAAACUCCUUUCGCUAGGAGCGAAGCAGUUUGUGACGGUACCUGGAUAAGAAGCACCGGCUAACUACGUG